rnacentral:rRNA from 1 species
GACGAACCGUACGAACGUUAUUCGGAAUCACUGGGCUUAAAGGGUGCGUAGGCUGCGCAGCAAGUUGGGUGUGAAAUCCCUCGGCUUAACCGAGGAGCUGCGCCCAAAACUGCUGUGCUCGAGGGAGACAGAGGUGAGCGGAACUUAGGGUGGAGCGGUGAAAUGCGUUGAUAUCCUAAGGAACACCGGUGGCGAAAGCGGCUCACUGGGUCUCUUCUGACGCUGAGGCACGAAAGCUAGGGGAGCGAACGGG